rnacentral:rRNA from 1 species
GACGAACGCUGGCGGCGUGCUUAACACAUGCAAGUCGAACGAAGUGGCGAACGGGUGAGUAAUGCCUAGGAAUCUGCCUGGUAGGGGGGGAUAACGUCCGGAAACGGGCGCUCAUACCGCAUACUAUCAGAUGAGCCUAGGUCGGAUUAGCUAGUUGGUGGGGUAAAGGCCUACCAAGGCGACGAUCCUUAACUGGUCUGAGAGGGUGAUCAGUCACACGGGAACUGAGACACGGUCCAGACUCCUAAGGGAGGGAGCAGUGGGGAAUAUUGGAAAAUGGGCGAAAGCCUGAUACAGCCAUGCCGCGUGUGUGAAGAAGGUCUUCGGAUUGUAAAGCACUUUAAGUUGGGAGGCGUUACUAACAGAAUAAGCACCGGCUAACUUCGUGCCAGCAGCCGCGGUAAUAC